UACGGAGGGUGCAAGCGUUAUCCGGAUUCACUGGGUUUAAAGGGUGCGUAGGUGGGAAUGUAAGUCAGUGGUGAAAUCUCCGUGCUUAACACGGAAACUGCCAUUGAUACUAUGUUUCUUGAAUUAUCUGGAGGUCAGCGGAAUAUGUCAUGUAGCGGUGAAAUGCUUAGAUAUGACAUAGAACACCAAUUGCGAAGGCAGCUGGCUACAGGUGGAUUGACACUGAGGCACGAAAGCGUGGGGGAUCAAACAGG
rnacentral:rRNA from 1 species